ACUGAACGCUAGCGGGAUGCUUUACACAUGCAAGUCGAACGAGUGGCGGACGGGUCAGUAAUUUAACGGAACGUGCCCCGUAGCGGGGGAAAACUACUCGAAAGAGGGGCUAAUCCCGCAUACCAUUGGAGCGGCCUAUAAGGGCUGAGCUAGUUGGGGGGGUACAGGCUCACCAAGGCCACGAUCCGUAGCUGGUUUGAGCGGACGACCAGCAACACUGGGACUGAGGCACGGCCCAGACUCCUACGGGAGGCAGCAGUGGGGAAUUUUGGACAAUGGGGGAAACCCUGAUCCAGCCAUCCCGCGUGUAUGAGAAGGCCUUCGGGUUGUAAAGUACUUUUGGCAGAGAAGCGGUAUCUGCAGAAUAAGCACAGGCUAACUACGUGCCAGCCGCCGCGGUAAUAC
rnacentral:rRNA from 1 species